rnacentral:rRNA from 1 species
GUCUACAGCUAUGCCACCCUGAACGUGCCCGAUCUCGUCUGAUCUCGGACGCUAAGCAGGGUCAGGCCUGGUUAGUGCGUGGAUGGGAGACCACCUAGGGAGACCAGGUGCUGUAGGGG